ACAUUCCACAGUGCAAACAGCAGGCAGAGCUUCUCAGAGAGGAGACUAGCAGUUACCUUUUAAGUCUUCUAGGUCAUUUUCAAUGAUUUGUAACUGGUUCAAGUCCCUCUACUUGGGAGAAGGGGAACAGAGAGCCUGGAACCCAGAGGAUCUGAUCCCAAAGCUAUCCUUUCUCUCACUCUCUUGGAUGGUCUCUGUCAUCAGGUUGCUCACAGGCACCAAUAAGGGUGGAGGGGACAAUCUACAGUGCCACAGAGUCUGUUGAUACUGUGCUGUCGCUCACACCUUCAGUCCAAGCUUGCUGCAGUGCCGCAUCCAUGUAAAGGCUUCCCCUGACUGUGGGUUGGACAAUAUGUGUUGGUACCAUGCUCCAGCCCUGCCUGUCCUCAUCUCUGACUCUCUUGAGUGAAGACUUUGAACAUCUUCACGGAUACCUGCAUUGCUGAUUGAUGACCAUUCCCUACACAUCCCACUGUCCUGCUGCACUGGCUGGUCUUGGAGACACAGACCCCUGGAACAACAGUGAGCUAAAAAAAAAUCAGUGCCACCCUGACCCCGUGGUAUCAUAUGCUUCACAGCACCAUAGCAGGAUUAGCUUGACUUAUGUUAGAACAUAAAUAUGUAUUACAUUCCUUAAAGUGACCUAUUUGAUAAACAGAAUUGCUGAGCAUUUUUGAGGGUAUGCCUAAGGGUGUUAUAAAAACUGUAUCAAGAUAAACAGGGUACUGUGAAUCAAGAAAAUAGAGCUAGCUCUGCCCUCAGGUGAGGCAAGCAUAAGAAAUGUGGCUUACGGACCUCCUCCAGUGAUGUCAUCUAAGCCCACCAGCAGUAGAUCUGUGUCUGUCGACUUGUUCACUCUAACAUAUGCUAAGCUCCUACUGUGUGCCAAGUACUGUGUUCAGGGAGCUCAAGGGCAAGGUCCUAACUGGACAGAAGGUUCCCUCAAAAAUUUAAUGAGCUACACUGACUGAGAAGAACAGAAACAUGGCCAUGGUCCCUCGGCAUGGCUACAGCACCAAAUGGAAAACUGCCAAUGGACAAACAUCUUUACAUUUAGCAUUAACACGAUUAGUGACUCCAGGCAAGAGUCCCAGAGAGCACUACAGAAAGACUAGCACAAAGACAAUUCUUUUCCUGAGUAGCCCCAAAUGCUGGGAUACAGGGCCUACAAGACACAUCUUAUGUGAGAGAUCCUCACUUAUCCCUAUCCAUGGCUACUCACCCUCCUCAUAUCACUGAGGCCAUGAGGAAUAGCAGAGAGAAGGCAGCAGUGUGAGUGGGAGAGAGAGACCAGAUCUUUUCAUUAUGGAGUACUAUAAUUGGAAAGUAGAAUCCAACCAGAACGAUCAAACCAAACACCAAAAAAGAAAAGCCUACAUCUGCUCUUCUGAGGGAAACUGAGAAGGGGUCUGGGAGUAUCUGAGGUAGAGCUUGGGCUGCAGAACUACUGCGUGGAACACAAAUUGAAGAAGCCCCUGUGAGCCCUUCUCUGACUCCCAGCAGAUAUGUGUCUGGUGAGGAGGCAGUCGCCAGUCCCCUUCCUAAUUCUUCUCUUAGAAAAGAGAAACCGUGAAUGGUUAGAUUAAAUUAUUGCUAUGCAUCAACAGUAAUGCUAAUACAUCCAUGCUCCACCAUAAGAGGGGAUAGCUGGUAACAAAAGAUUCCAGUCAGUGUUACACGCAGCUACCAUUCAACACACCUACUCCAUUCCUAAGAACCUGCCUGAGGAAGUAAACCACAUGGCUACUACAGCCUGGUACAUUGGUAUUUACAGCAACUUUAACUUGGAAUAAUAACAAAACAACAGCAGCAACAACAACAACAACAAAAUCUAGCAGCGACCCAAGUGUUCAUCAACCAAUAUCAUACAUCUAUACAGUAGAACACUAUUCAUCAUUUAAAAUGAACCGUGUGUCUAGGCAUUAAUGGAUGAAUCUCAAAAUUAUUAUUCCAAGGAAAAGAAGUCAGACAAAAAGAAGCAUAUGCUCUAUAUUUUGAUGUGUAUGUGCAUGAGUGCGUGCGUGCAUGCGUGAGUGCGUGCAUUUUUUUCUCCCUAGGGAGGACCAACUAAUUCAUAAUGAGAGUUAGCCGAUCAAUGUGUGUCUGUGUGGUAGGGAGCAACAUGAAGGAAGAGAGCAAAAAAGGACCACAAAAAAAGAUGUGAGAAUUUGUAAGGUGAUGAAUUCAUUCAUUGUCUUUGUUGUGAUUAUGGCUUUCAGGGUGUGUAUGAUGUCAAAAGUAAGAACACUGUACACUUUAAAUAAAUGCUGUUUGCUGAGUUCUCGCUGCACCUGUUAGGAAAAUGGCAGUAGAGAAUGUUCUGGAAGGCUGUACGCAAGACUAUAAAUUGAUGGAUUCCUCUUGGAAAGCAGUUUGGCUUUUCUUUGAUACUACUUUUAAAUCUGUAUCCUAGAGACAUAAAGUGAGAUACAACAGUUUCACUCCUGGAGCAUUUACAAUGGUGGGGGGAAAAAGCAAGGAAAUACUAAUGCAUUUGAUGAAAAAAAACCUGUUCCAAUAAAUCAUGGUUCUCACAUAUUGAAAUAUUAUGCAGCCGUUAAAGGCCAUGCUUAUGAGAAGCUUUUAAUAACCUGGGAGAAUACUUAUGUGAUGGUGCCAAGUAGAAAGCACCAAGAUAUAAAUUGUAUAUGUAGUGUGAAUUGAAUUAUGUAAAAUUAUGCACAGAAAAAUCUCUGAAAUAUCUUUGGGAUUAUUUCUGAGUGAUAUAGGGUAUGGGUGAUAUUUUUUUAAUCUCUUAAUGCAAAUUUUGAAAUGUCCCUAUUUAAAAUGUAUUUCCUUAAUUUUCUACAAUAAGGCUGUAUUUUUAAAUUGUGAAAUAAAUAAGCUAUCUUCAAGG
rnacentral:lncRNA from 1 species